rnacentral:lncRNA from 1 species
CACGACCCACCUCUGGGACUCGCGGGGGGCGUCCUCAGAGGGGCGACUCCUACAAAUGAAGGCCAAGUCUGGGGAAAGUUUCUGGCGGUGUCAAGGGUCAGUUUUUUCUUGUAGGGACGUUCUCUAGCCAAGAGAUGGAAACUCCAGCGAUUUUGUCCGCGGGUUCUGCUGACAUCACAAACCACACAUCACUCCGUGUCAUCUUGUGUAGUUUGUACAAAGACUCUCCAUCAUUACUGCAGCCUUCUGCACGUUCGCCUUUCAAAGCCCCAGCAGGUCACAAAUGAUUAAAGGUCAGAGGACAAAGAAUGAUCCAGUCACCGUGGCAAACAGUGCUGUUUCAAGAGGGCUCGGCCUCAAAACUCCAUGAAAAUUCCCUUCUGGUCAAACUGAAGGAUUCAUGUGCUGCUCUUGCCUAGAACAUAACCAGGUACGAUCAUGUCAUAACAUUUGGAGGGUGAAGGGAGAUGUGACUAUGGUUCAUUGUCUGAUUGAAAGAGCGGAGGUUCAGAAUCCUACAGGGAUUUCCUGCUGUCAGACUUCUGGAUCCUCGCAGAGCUGAGACCAGACUCCAAACCUGUGGACUUCUCGUUCUGAGUACUUUCUACCGUGGCAUGCUACCUCAAAGUGAGCCUGCUGGAAAAUCUACCAUUAAUCUUCGUGAAAAGAAAUUAAACUUUAAACCUUGCACACUAAAAAGAAAAAGCUGCUAAGGACAGAUGAAAUUUCUUCUCCUGGGCUCUAGUCCCUGUUUUCCGCACCAGCUGUGGACCUUCAUCCUGGCCACUAAGGGACUUGGCUUUGAUCAUAUUCCAAAGAUCUGGCAAUUAAUUAGCAUGAGCGAUAUUGUUAAGAAGUUACACAAAGAACUCAUAGUCAUUCUGUUGUAACCCGUGUUCCUUCACCUUAAAAAAAUUCUGAGUAGAUGAGUAUGAUUCAGGAGAAGACAUCAUCAAUUAAUUCUAAAGAUGAUCACUGAUGACCUGAACUUUUUCUAGUAUUUGGGGAAGGGUCAAGGAUAUUGGCAACAUUCUUCAAAGAAACAGUGGUUUCUAGUGCGCCUCAGUGGUAGUUGGACUAGAGAUGGUUUUGCUAUCAUUGAAUUCCAUGGGGAGUGGGAGGGCUCUGAUUAACUUGACUCCUGAUUUAACAAAGGAAAGCUCCUCACUUCUAGAGUGGAAGAAACCCUCCUGGGAAG